rnacentral:rRNA from 1 species
GUAGUCCACGCAGUAAACUAUGAUUACUAGUUGUUUGCGAUAUGAUAGCAAGUGACUAAGCGAAAGCGAUAAGUAAUCCACCUGGGGAGUACGCCGGCAACGGUGAAACUCAAAGGAAUUGACGGGGGCCCGCACAAGCGGAGGAACAUGUGGUUUAAUUCGAUGAUACGCGAGGAACCUUACCCGGGCUUGAAAUGCAGAGGAAUGACGUGGAAACAUGUCCGCCAGCAAUGGUCUCUGUGUAGGUGCUGCAUGGUUGUCGUCAGCUCGUGCCGUGAGGUGUCGGCUUAAGUGCCAUAACGAGCGCAACCCACAUUGUUAGUUACUAACAGGUCAAGCUGAGGACUCUAACAAGACUGCCAGCGUAAGCUGCGA